rnacentral:sRNA from 1 species
AAAACACAAAAAAAAAAAACAGAGGAGAAAAAGAGACGACGACAAACAAGUGAA